rnacentral:rRNA from 1 species
GACGAACGCUGGCGGCGUGCCUAAUACAUGCAAGUUGAGCGCUGAAGGUUGGUACUUGUACCGACUGGAUGAGCAGCGAACGGGUGAGUAACGCGUGGGGAAUCUGCCUUUGAGCGGGGGACAACAUUUGGAAACGAAUGCUAAUACCGCAUAAAAACUUUAAACACAAGUUUUAAGUUUGAAAGAUGCAAUUGCAUCACUCAAAGAUGAUCCCGCGUUGUAUUAGCUAGUUGGUGAGGUAAAGGCUCACCAAGGCGAUGAUACAUAGCCGACCUGAGAGGGUGAUCGGCCACAUUGGGACUGAGACACGGCCCAAACUCCUGCGGGAGGCAGCAGUAGGGAAUCUUCGGCAAUGGACGAAAGUCUGACCGAGCAACGCCGCGUGAGUGAAGAAGGUUUUCGGAUCGUAAAACUCUGUUGGUAGAGAAGAACGUUGGUGAGAGUGGAAAGCUCAUCAAGUGACGGUAACUACACAGAAAGGGACGGCUAACUACGUG